rnacentral:tRNA from 1 species
AGGACAUCAGGGUUAUGAGCCCUGCGCGCUUCCACUGCGCCACGGCGCU